AGACGUCUACAUUAGAUACCCGCGUAGUCCCAGCCAUAAACUAUGCGCGUUAGGUGUAUCGGUGACCACGAGUCACCGAGGUGCCGAAGGGAAACCGUGAAACGUGCCGCCUGGGAAGUACGGUCGCAAGGCUGAAACUUAAAGGAAUUGGCGGGGAGCACCACAACGGGUGGAGCCUGCGGUUUAAUUGGACUCAACGCCGGGAAGCUCACCGGAUAAGACAGCGGAAUGAUUGCCGGGCUGAAGACUCUGCAUGACUAGCUG
rnacentral:rRNA from 1 species